rnacentral:rRNA from 1 species
UACGUAGGGGGCAAGCGUUGUCCGGAAUUAUUGGGCGUAAAGCGCGCGUAGGCGGUCUAUUAAGUCCGAUGUGAAAACUCUCGGCUCAACUGGGAGACUGCAUUGGAAACUGGUAGACUAGAGUCCAGCAGAGGGAAGUGGAAUUCCUAGUGUAGCGGUGAAAUGCGCAGAUAUUAGGAAGAACACCAGUGGCGAAGGCGGCUUCCUGGACUGCGACUGACGCUGAGGUGCGAAAGCUAGGGGAGCGAACAGG